CCUACGGGUGGCUGCAGUGAGGAAUAUUGGUCAAUGGGCGCAAGCCUGAACCAGCCAAGUCGCGUGCGGGAUGACGGUCCUAUGGAUUGUAAACUUCUUUUGUCGGGGAGCAAGGCCCGCCACGUGUGGCGGGUAGGAGAGUACCCGUAGAAAAAGCAUCGGCUAUCGCCGUGCCAGCAGCCGCGGUACUACGGAGGAUGCGAGGGUUAUCCGGAUUUAUUGGGUUUAAAGGGUGCGUUGGCGGACGGUUAAGUCAGUGGUAAAAUGUCGGUGCCCAACACCGGCCUGCCGUGGAAACUGGUCUUCUUGAGUGAGCGGGAAGUAUGCGGAAUGCGUGGUGUAGCGGUGAAAUGCAUAGAUAUCACGCAGAACUCCGAUUGCGAAGGCAGCAUACCGGCGCUCAACUGACGCUGAGGCUCGAAGGCGUGGGGAUCGAACAGGAUUAGAUACCCUUGUAGUC
rnacentral:rRNA from 1 species